rnacentral:rRNA from 1 species
UACAGAGGUGGCAAGCGUUGUUCGGAAUUACUGGGCGUAAAGGGCGCGUAGGCGGCUUCUUAAGUCAAAGGUGAAAUCCCUCGGCUCAACUGAGGAACUGCCUUUGAAACUGGGGAGCUUGAGUCCGGGAGGGGGUAGCGGAAUUCCCAGUGUAGCGGUGAAAUGCGUAGAUAUUGGGAGGAACACCAGUGGCGAAGGCGGCUACCUGGACCGGAACUGACGCUGAUGCGCGAAAGCGUGGGUAGCAAACAGG